rnacentral:rRNA from 1 species
CCUACGGGAGGCAGCAGUGGGGAAUCUUGCGCAAUGGGCGAAAGCCUGACGCAGCCAUGCCGCGUGAAUGAUGAAGGUCUUAGGAUUGUAAAAUUCUUUCACCGGGGACGAUAAUGACGGUACCCGGAGAAGAAGCCCCGGCUAACUUCGUGCCAGCAGCCGCGGUAAUACGAAGGGGGCUAGCGUUGCUCGGAAUUACUGGGCGUAAAGGGAGCGUAGGCGGAUAGUUUAGUCAGAGGUGAAAGCCCAGGGCUCAACCUUGGAAUUGCCUUUGAUACUGGCUAUCUUGAGUGUGGGAGAGGUUAGCGGAACUCCGAGUGUAGAGGUGAAAUUCGUAGAUAUUCGGAAGAACACCAGUGGCGAAGGCGGCUAACUGGCCCAUUACUGACGCUGAGGCUCGAAAGCGUGGGGAGCAAACAGGAUUAGAUACCCUGGUAGUCCACGCCGUAAACGAUGAGUGCUAGUUGUCGGCAUGCAUGCAUGUCGGUGACGCAGCUACGACAUUAAGACACUCCGCCGUCGGGGAGGUACGGUCGGCGAAGAAUUAAAACUUAAAGUAAGUAGUAGACGCGAGAGACGUCGACGACGACGACGACGGAGGGAGGAGG